rnacentral:rRNA from 1 species
AUUGAACGCUGGCGGCAGGCUUAACACAUGCAAGUCGAGCGGGGUGAUGGUGCUUGCACUAUCACUUAGCGGCGGGCGGGUGAGUAAUGCUUAGGAAUCUGCUUAUUAGCGGGGGACAACAUCUCGAAAGGGAUGCUAAUACCGCAUACGUCCUACGGGAGAAAGCAGGGGAUCACUUGUGACCUUGCGCUAAUAGAUGAGCCUAAGUCGGAUUAGCUAGUUGGUGGGGUAAAGGCCUACCAAGGCGACGAUCUGUAGCGGGUCUGAGAGGAUGAUCCGCCACACUGGGACUGAGACACGGCCCAGACUCCUACGGGAGGCAGCAGUGGGGAAUAUUGGACAAUGGGGGGAACCCUGAUCCAGCCAUGCCGCGUGUGUGAAGAAGGCCUUAUGGUUGUAAAGCACUUUAAGCGAGGAGGAGGCUCUUUUGGUUAAUACCCAAGAUGAGUGGACGUUACUCGCAGAAUAAGCACCGGCUAACUCUGUGCCAGCAGCCGCCGUAA